rnacentral:rRNA from 1 species
UACGGAGGGUGCAAGCGUUAAUCGGAAUUACUGGGCGUAAAGCGCACGCAGGUGGCUGAGUCAGUCGAUUGUGAAAGCCCUGGGCUCAACCUGGGAAUUGCGGUCGAUACUACUCAGCUAGAGUAUGGGAGAGGGCAGUGGAAUUCCCGGUGUAGCGGUGAAAUGCGUAGAUAUCGGGAGGAACAUCAGUGGCGAAGGCGGCUGCCUGGCCCAAUACUGACACUCAGGUGCGACAGCGUGGGGAGCAAACAGG